rnacentral:rRNA from 1 species
UACGAAGGGGGCUAGCGUUGUUCGGAAUGACUGGGCGUAAAGGGCGCGUAGGCGGUUCGUACAGUCAGGCGUGAAAUUCCCGGGCUUAACCUGGGGGCUGCGUUUGAUACGUGCGGGCUUGAGUUCGGAAGAGGGUCGUGGAAUUCCCAGUGUAGAGGUGAAAUGCGUAGAUAUUGGGAAGAACACCGGUGGCGAAGGCGGCUCACUGGCCCGUUACUGACGCUCAGGCGCGACAGCGUGGGGAUCAAACAGG